AACGAACGCUGGCGGCAGGCCUAACACAUGCAAGUCGAGCGAACCCUUCGGGGUUAGCGGCGGACGGGUUAGUAACGCGUGGGAAUAUACCCUUUGGUACGGAAUAGCCUCGGGAAACUGAGAGUAAUACCGUAUGUGCCCUUCGGGGAAGAUUUAUCGCCAAAGGAUUAGCCCGCGUUGGAUUAGAUAGUUGGUGGGGUAAUGGCCUACCAAGUCUACGAUCCAUAGCUGGUUUGAGAGGAUGAUCAGCAACACUGGGACUGAGACACGGCCCAGACUCCUACGGGAGGCAGCAGUGGGGAAUCUUAGACAAUGGGCGCAAGCCUGAUCUAGCCAUGCCGCGUGGACGAUGAAGGCCUUAGGGUUGUAAAGUCCUUUCAGAUGGGAAGAUAUGACGGUGCCAUCAGAAGAAGCCCCGGCUAACUCCGUG
rnacentral:rRNA from 1 species